AAUUGAAUUUAAACACUCAAACAAGAGCUUUUACAGACAAUUGAGACCAAUAUGGACAACUUACCAUUUUAAGCCCAUGUUUUCUAAUUUUGUCUGACACAAACAUGUUGUAUGGCAUCUCUGAUGAGCGAAAGUGUUCAGUCUUAGUAUAUUGAUUGGACAUUUUGCUAACUUUAGUAUACAGAGACUGAACAAUAACAAGUAUACUAUUUUAGCCUUGUUAUCGGAUGUUGGUUUACCUGUUGGGAAGCCAUUGACAGCCCAAAAGCCACCUGUUGGGAAGCCAUUGCCAGCCCAAAAGCCACCUGUUGGAAAGCCAUUGCCAGCCCAAAAGCCACCUGUUGGGAAGCCAUUGCCAGCCCAAAAGCCACCUGUUGGGAAGCCAUUGCCAGCCCAAAAGCCACCUGUUGGAAAGCCAUUGCCAGCCCAAAAGCCACCUGUUGGGAAGCCAUUGCCAGCCCAAAAGCCACCUGUUGGGAAGCCAUUGCCAGCCCAAAAGCCACCUGUUGGGAAGCCAUUAGCAGCCCAAAAACCAACCAGUGCAAAGACAGGAAUCCCCAGUAUUCAUCAAGGUUUGUUACCACCAACCUGUCCUUUGCCUGCAAGUGACAGUGAUUCGGGUGUUCCUGAUCCCCAACAGUCAGUGGAUGAUGUAAUCGCUCAUCAAAGACCUUCAACUUCAAGUACCCAUCCUUCAGAUACUGUCCUUGGUCAACGUGAAAAUAAAGACCUUUGUCUCCCGGCUCGAUGGAAGACAACCCUACCAAAGGCAGAUCAGCAGUGGAUAUCAAAAGCCCUGUUCCGUUGGACCAGCUCAGGCGGGUAGAACUGGUUCCAGAGCACCUUAACCAGCUAUGGUGGCAUCCUCCUCAGCCAGCUGUAGCAGUAAACAGCUUACCUGGAGUGGACAGGUACUUUGCACGGCCCCUGUUGUUGUGGAUGCCAAGAAAACAGUGGAAAGUCCAGCUCUAUUGUCCACAUCCAGGCUGUGAUAAACAAGAACUCGCCUCUGCAGGUAUCAACCAAAAGGUCAGGCAAGUCGUCGACAUUGAUGGUUUUUACAACUUGGCCUGUGACAACCUUGAGUGCAUGAAAUGCAGACGGCGUGUCCUCAGCUGGAGCCAUGCCAUUCUGUCACAGCUUGACAUAGGGCACAGGGUGCAGUUUCCAUGCAUCCUGACAGCCAAAGAUGCCUGUGACAUGAGGAUCGUCCUACUGCUGAGAAAUAGAGGAUUUGGCAACAG